rnacentral:rRNA from 1 species
CUAUCUUUAACUCAGCCUACGAGCUCGUCUGAUCUCGGAAGCUAAGCAGGGUCGGACCUGGUUAGAACUUGGAUGGGAGACCAAAUGGCGACAGCGCUGGGC